UAAUGAGAGAGUCCACUUGCAGUUAAUACUCAACAUUAGAAAUUAUGUGAUUUGCAUCUCCAGACUAGCAACGUGUUGAAGAAAGUUAAGAGUCUCUUUACUUUAUGCAAAAUGUGCUCAACUACAUCAAUUUUUUUUCCACUUAUUUAUAAUGGCUAAGAUAAAGAAGUUCAGAGGAUCUGUUUCAGCUGGAGCGGGGCCAUUUGUCUCCUUUCUGAAAUUUUUUGCAACUAAUGUCCUUGUGCCAAUAGGCAUGGCAUCUGAAGCACCAUUCAUGACUGCAGCUCACGCACGUUAUGGUAAAAUAGCAAUUGAAGUGUUGGUGACGAUGUCCUUCAUUAAUAUUUAUGUUAGCUACAUGAUAAGCCUGCAUGAAAAGUUGCUCAAGUUUUAUGCACACCCCACUCUCUAUUGGACCAUAUUAUUUUUAAGAAUCAAGUUCAUCAUCUUCACACUAUAGAAAACUUUCAGAAAAUUUUUGGGUCUCUUCUUUUUUACAAUUUAUGUUUCACAGCCUAGUAAAAACUUCUCUCUGCAAGAUGUUAAAAUUAUGUUCUUAUACUUCAUCUGCUUUAUGAAAAAGCUUUUUCAUCACCUGACGGUGUCAAAUUGUCCCUACAUGACAGAAGGAGGUCACACAAUUCUUUGGGUCUCUUCUUUUUUUACAAUUUAUGUGUCACAGCCUAGUCAAAACUUCUCUCUGCAAGAUUUAAAAAUUAUGUUCUUAUACUUCAUCUGCUUUAUGAAGAAGCUUUUUCAUCCCCUGACGGUGUCAAAUUGUUCCUACAUGACAGAAGGAGGUCACAAUAUUCUCUGUUCAUUGAAAUGAUUUUUUUUUGAAGCCAAACCUCAAAUUUCUCUUCAGUAAUAAUGUCAGUCUAUGCCCAAUUGUGAAGAGUCAAGUCUAUGGCGGUCAAGAUCAAAGAUGUUGAAAUUUAUUCUCUCGGAAACAACAUUACAUGAACAAGAUGUUUUAUAAAAUUAGCGUUUCAUUAUUCAAAUUGAUUUCAGUCUAUAAUUUGAUAAUUAAUUAUGUUUAUAGUCACAAAUAUUUAGCAUUAUUAUGUAAUAUGUACACACAUUGUUCAUCUUGUGCCAGACUGUGAUAUCAUGCUGCUUGUGUGCUGUAGCUAAUUAUUGUUCAGGGCUUGGCUUGUUCACACUUGUCUAUAAACUAGAUCAUAAUUGUACUCAAACUAUCUAUUAACAUGUCUCAUUAGAGCUUGACUUCAGUAUAUAAGGAGAGAAAGCAAUCCUACAUUGCAUUCAGUGCUGCUCUUUGGAGAUUAUUAAAUUUUUAAAAUGAAGACUGCUUCCUUUGCUUUUGUUCUCUUGUUUGCUGUCCUGGUUGGGCUCUCCUAUGCUCAGAUGGGUGUACCAGGAGGAGUAUCAUGCUCAGGCCCACCCUACACUGGUGGACUGAGUUACACACCAAAGCAGAACGGAUACCAGUUUGGUGCCAGGGUCUCUGUUGGUGAGCCACCAAUAAGGACCUAUACGUGUCGCCAUGGUCAUUGGUACUAAUGUCAGCAGGUUCAGGAAAAGAAAGAUGCAUAUUAUUGAACAUUGUCUUGUUGUACUUUACCUCAUUUUGCCAUUAUUCUUUAUUCAAUAUAUUUUUUAAAAGAAACCAUUUAUAUAAGAUUUA